rnacentral:rRNA from 1 species
AUUGAACGCUGGCGGCAUGCCUUACACAUGCAAGUCGAACGGCAGCGGACCUUCGGGUGCCGGCGAGUGGCGAACGGGUGAGUAAUAUAUCGGAACGUACCUUUCAGUGGGGGAUAACGUAGCGAAAGUUACGCUAAUACCGCAUAUUCUGUGAGCAGGAAAGCAGGGGAUCGCAAGACCUUGCGCUGAUUGAGCGGCCGAUAUCAGAUUAGCUAGUUGGUGAGGUAAAGGCUCACCAAGGCGACGAUCCGUAGCUGGUCUGAGAGGAUGAUCAGCCACACUGGAACUGAGACACGGUCCAGACUCCUACGGGAGGCAGCAGUGGGGAAUAUUGGACAAUGGGGGCAACCCUGAUCCAGCCAUGCCGCGUGUGUGAAGAAGGCCUCGGUUGUAAGUACGACUUUG